AUUGAAACACCAGUUCCCGUACGACCACCAAAGUUAAGCAACGUCGAGCUUGGUCAGUAUCUAGAUGGGUGACCACUUACGAAUACCAGGUGCUGUAAG